rnacentral:rRNA from 1 species
AACGUAGGACACAAGCGUUAUCCGGAGUUACUGGGCGUAAAGGGCGUGUAGGCGGACCUAUAAGUCUAUUCUGAAAGCUCCUGGCUAAACUGGGAGAGGCGAAUGGAGACUGUAGAUCUAGAGUGAGGAAGAGGAAAGUGGAAUUCCGCGUGUAGUGGUGAAAUGCGUAGAGAUGCGGAGGAACACCAGUGGCGAAAGCGACUUUCUGGUCCUUAACUGACGCUGAGGCGCGAAAAGCAUGGGGGAGCCGAACG